GCCCCUUAACUAUUCCUCCAACACAGUAGUUGAAAGUCCAAUCCGAAAAGAAAAACCCAAUGUUCUGUAAGAAUUUCCAGUUGCCAGGGAAUUAUGCCACGAACACGAGUUACCAAUGCCUCAUGUUGGAUAUAGAAGUGUAAAACGAGUGUUCUUGAUGAACAAGAAAAAAUUGUAACUGAAUACGUGAUUAAGGCGUCAGAGACAUUUUACAGACUUUUCCCUAAGGAUAUCUGUAAAUUAGCUCAUGAACUGGCAACGACAAACAAUAUACCAAUUUCAUCAACUUGGGUGGACAAUCAUACUGCUUGUCCAGACUGGUUUUCAGCAUUCAUGAAGAGGAAUCCCCAGUUGUCUAUUCGGUCGCCUCAACCCACAAGUCUUUCUCGAGCAACGAGCUUUAAUCCAACAAAUCCUGUCAAAAACUGUGAAAAAAUGGCAUCCUGAUGAACAAACCACAGUGAAGAUGGAAGUGAGCAACAUUGUUUUGGGGGCAGCAUUGCAAGCUGCACAUGGGAGCUCAUUUCAGGUGAACCCUGGAUACCACAAUACUCGUAAUACAAAUCCAUCAUCAAUUCCAUCAAUCCUCCACAACACCAUCUCCUCAGCAAUCUGAACACAGCUUGGACUGCUCAAGGGACUCAACAAUUUCCUGCACUUGGAAAG